GUCUGUCUUCAGCCUGGCAGAAGACAAAGGGUGAAGUGAAAAAGGUUGCGCCUUGAAAAAUCAAGGAGAAAGCCGUGUGACGUGGCAGACUGGGGAGCUCUUCUCAAAGACCUGAGUUACUUUGGAGAACAGAACUGAGUUCUGGAACUUGCUGCAAAUGUUGAAGAUCAUGCCUUGAGUUUUAGAAUUUCUAGCAAACCUGGCUACAGCAAAAGAAAUGGUUGGCAGUGGCUGCAUUUGAAGAUUCCUAAAAGUUCGUCUUUUCUCACACGUGGGUUCAAGCACACCACAGCCAGUGAAAGUGCAUGCGAUGCUGCUUGCGGUUCUGAAUAUUUGCUGCAAUAUGUGCUGCAACCUGUGCACUCAAAUGUCAGUUUAGAAAAAAAAAUGAGUUGUUCUGCUCCAAGUGUCCUUUCUGCUUUUGCUGUACUGUUGAAUAGCCGUAAGAGUUGUAAUCUUGCCCUUCUCCGGCUCGGCUCGGCUCGCACGCUGUUUUCACAGCCGUAUGCUAAAGCACUGCUGUUUCAACCCAUGUUUUCGCUACAUGGUUAAGGAGGACUUUAAAAAAACCAAAACCUAAAUAAAGAUGCCACCUACAGUAAGUCUGA